rfam:Myotis lucifugus cont2.17938, whole genome shotgun sequence.
AUACUUACCUGUCAGGGAAGGUACCAUAAUCAUGAAAGUGGUUUUUCCAGGGUGAGGCUUAUCGAUUGCACUCUGGAUGUGGUGACCCUUGUGAUUUCCCCAAAUGUGGGAAACUUGACUACAUAAUUUGUGGUAGAGGGGGACUGCAUUUGCCAUUUCCCCUA